GGGGCAGUGGUCCAGCUUGGUCUACGAUUCCUGCCUUGGGAGCAGGCGACCCGAGUUCAAAUCUCGGCUGCCCCA
rnacentral:tRNA from 1 species